rnacentral:rRNA from 1 species
UUUGCCCUACGGGAGGCAGCAGUGGGGAAUAUUGCACAAUGGGGGAAACCCUGAUGCAGUGACGCCGCGUAUAGGAAGAAGGUCUUCGGAUUGUAAACUAUUGUCAUUAGGGAAGAGAAAGGACAGUACCUAAAGAGGAAGCUCCGGCUAACUACGUGCCAGCAGCCGCGGUAAUACGUAGGGAGCAAGCGUUAUCCGGAUUUAUUGGGUGUAAAGGGUGCGUAGACGGG